UGAGCAAUCUGCCCUUCUCUUUGGAAUAAGCGUUGGAAACGACGUCUAAUGCCGAAUACGACCUCCUUUCGCAUGAUCGGAGGUGGAAAGCUCCGGCGGAGAAGGAUGGGCUCGCGGCCUAUCAGCUAGUUGGUGUGGGUAAUGGCCCACCAAGGCGACGACGGGUAGCCGGCCUGAGAGGGUGACCGGCCACACUGGGACUGAGACACGGCCCAGACUCCUACGGGAGCAGCAGG
rnacentral:rRNA from 1 species